rnacentral:lncRNA from 1 species
CCCCUUUAAAGAUUAUAGAUAAAUCACAACUCAAAAUUUAGCAAUCAAAUGUGGAACUAAGUCAUAAACUAAAUCAUAGAUCCCUUAAAAUAAUGCAACUGAAAAGUAAAUGCUGAAAGUAAAAGAGACAAGAUAUUUUAAGUGGUUUGGAGCACAAAAAUCUCCUAGUCCACUCUUCUACUCCUUGAGUAGGUAUAAUCAUCUAUUAAGGAUGAAUGAUCACUAAGAUCUGUUCACGAAGAACAAUUACAAAGAUUGAAUCACAAAGAUUCCUUCAAGUUACUAAGACUUGUACAAUUCAAUAAUGUGACACCCCCAAAAUAGGUCCACACAACCCAUUUUGAU